UACAGAGGUCUCAAGCGUUUGUUCGGAUUCAUUGGGCGUAAAGGGUGCGUAGGCGGCGCGGUGAAGUCGGGUGUGAAAUCUCGGAGCUUAACUCCGAAACUGCAUUCGAUACUGCCGUGCUUGAGGACUGGAGAGGAGACUGGAAUUUACGGUGUAGCGGUGAAAUGCGUAGAUAUCGUAAGGAAGACCAGUGGCGAAGGCGGGUCUCUGGACAGUUCCUGACGCUGAGGCACGAAGGCCAGGGGAGCAAACGGG
rnacentral:rRNA from 1 species